GAUGAACGCUGGCGGCGUGCUUAACACAUGCAAGUCGAGCGAAGCACUUAAGAAUGAUUCUUCGGAUGAGCUCUUUUGUGACUGAGCGGCGGACGGGUGAGUAACGCGUGGGUAACCUGCCUCAUACAGGGGGAUAACAGUUAGAAAUGACUGCUAAUACCGCAUAAGCGCACAGUGCCGCAUGGCACCGUGUGAAAAACUCCGGUGGUAUGGGAUGGACCCGCGUUGGAUUAGGCAGUUGGCGGGGUAACGGCCCACCAAACCGACGAUCCAUAGCCGGCCUGAGAGGGUGGACGGCCACAUUGGGACGGAGACACGGCCCAAACUCCUACGGGAGGCAGCAGUGGGGAAUAUUGCACAAUGGGGGAAACCCUGAUGCAGCGACGCCGCGUGAGUGAAGAAGUAAUUCGUUAUGUAAAGCUCUAUCAGCAGGGAAGAAAAUGACGGUACCUGACUAAGAAGCCCCGGCUAACUACGUGCCAGCCGCCGCGGUAA
rnacentral:rRNA from 1 species